UGCCCAGGAAAGCUUUGGCUGGACAGGGGAAUUGGGAAGCUCGUGAGUGAUCGCAACGCAGAAUCUCAAUUUCAAGCUCUGCGAACACAAGCGAGAGUACUCCUGAGGCUAGAAUGGCUGACGCUUGGAACGAUGCCGCGCUUAUGGAGACUUUUGACGCGGCACUGACGUUGUAUCAGCAGAUACAUGGUGUCACGGUUACGAAGAGUGCGGCCUCCCCAGCAUUUGAGGUACCUGAGAAGGAAGAUGAAGAACGUGUGGACUCCCAUACUACGGACUCUAAUCCACGAGUUCAUGACCUGGGUGUGGAGCACCCCACCACAUGUACAUCCUGAAAUUGAAAUGAGCCGCGAAAUCUUGCUCAGGCGGGCGUUUCAAAGAACAUUAUCUCUUUUCUCAAAUGCUGCAGUGGUAAUUGGCCUGGCAUUUGCUCUUGAUGGGGCUGCUGACAACUAACGAUUCAUCCGCGAUCUUUCCAUCGUUGAAAACUGCAGUGCUUCAUCUGAGGUUGGUCCAGGGGCAUCCACAAGCAGGUUCAUCACUAUUACUCUAUUUCGGCAUGUUGUGAUGAGAAGGCUGCCCCAAAUUGAACGUGAAAUCAAAGAUGAGGUUCGACGGUUCACAAGCGGUAAUGUUUACCAGGAUGGUUUUCGUUUUUCCACAGUUUUUCAAAAUUUAUCUUUAUUCCAAUGAUCUUUAUUCAAAUAUCACUAUUCUAACUCAUUAAGUGUUUCUUACAAAUCAGCGUGCCCUGCUGAGGCACAUGGUAGAUCUAAAAUUGUAACUUGCACUUGAAAAGCUCUCAAAUUUCAGUUUACUCCAAAGGAGGCAUACCACGGUUUGUCACUGUUUGAAAAGUUCUCUAUGGUGCGACAAUCUGUCCUUCCCUUGUGCAGCAUGUGAUAAUGGGAGUUGGGAAAUUUGUCAAUGACAGCAGACAAGAAGACUGGAAGCUCAUGAGCCCCGCUAUUUGCAUGGAAGGUUCUAGUUAUCCAGGGUUAAUAUCAGCAAACUUCCCAAAAAGCGGACCAUUCAAAAUGAUGCACUUAGCCUUCGCCACCCUAUCGUAGUCAGCUUUUGAUGACCUCCAGCCUUAAAAUAUCGCAGUAGUACAGCCUUUAUGGCCGAAUCGGGGUGUAGAGACAACGCAUGCAGGCAACGAGUGCAAAGUAUAAGCACAGUGAGGUGUGAAGACUUUCUGUAGCCCGUUUCCUUCUCAGUUGUGCAAUGUCCUAGUUGCAUUAGUAUUCGAAAGAAAGUGGUAUUGAAUAUAUGCACUGUUUUAUAUAUA